CUCGUAGGCGGUUUGUCGCGUCUGCCGUGAAAGUCCGAGGCUCAACUUCGGAUCUGCGGUGGGUACGGGCAGACUAGAGUGAUGUAGGGGAGACUGGAAUUCCCGGUGUAACGGUGGAAUGUGUAGAUAUCGGGAAGAACACCAAUGGCGAAGGCAGGUCUCUGGGCCGUCACUGACGCUGAGGAGCGAAAGCGUGGGGAGCGAACA
rnacentral:rRNA from 1 species